rnacentral:rRNA from 1 species
GACGAACGCUGGCGGCGUGCUUAACACAUGCAAGUCGAACGGAAAGGCCCUGCUUUUGUGGGGUGCUCGAGUGGCGAACGGGUGAGUAACACGUGAGUAACCUGCCCUUGACUUUGGGAUAACUUCAGGAAACUGGGGCUAAUACCGGAUAGGAGCUCCUGCUGCAUGGUGGGGGUUGGAAAGUUUCGGCGGUUGGGGAUGGACUCGCGGCUUAUCAGCUUGUUGGUGGGGUAGUGGCUUACCAAGGCUUUGACGGGUAGCCGGCCUGAGAGGGUGACCGGCCACAUUGGGACUGAGAUACGGCCCAGACCCCCACGGGAGGCAGCAGUGGGGAAUAUUGCACAAUGGGCGGAAGCCUGAUGCAGCAACGCCGCGUGCGGGAUGACGGCCUUCGGGUUGUAAACCGCUUUCGCCUGUGACGAAGCGUGAGUGACGGUAAUGGGUAAAGAAGCACCGGCUAACUACGUG